GGGCCGGUCGUCUAGCAUGGUUAGGACGUCUGCCUGACGCGCAGAAGGUCGCCGGUUCAAGUCCGGCCCGGCCCACCA
rnacentral:tRNA from 1 species